rnacentral:rRNA from 1 species
ACGCUGGCGGCACGCCUAACACAUGCAAGUCGAACGAAGUAGCAAUACUUAGUGGCAGACGGGUGAGUAACAUGUAGGUAUCUGCCCUUUGGCCUGGAAUAACAUGAGGAAACUUAUGCUAAUACCGGAUAAGUCUUUACGGAGAAAGCUUUAUGCACCAUUGGAUGAGCCUGCACUUGAUUAGUUUGUUGGUGGGGUAAUGGCCUACCAAGACUAUGAUCAAUAGCUGAUUUGAGAGGAUGAUCAGCCACAUUGGGACUGAGACACGGCCCAAACUCCUACGGGAGGCAGCAGUGGGGAAUCUUGCACAAUGGAGGAAACUCUGAUGCAGCGAUGCCGCGUGAGUGAAGAAGGCCCUUGGGUUGUAAAGCUCUUUCGUCGGGGAAGAAAAUGACUGUACCCGAAUAAGAAGGUCCGGCUAACUUCGUGCCAGCAGCCGCGGUAAUACGAAGGGACCUAGCGUAGUUCGGAAUUACUGGGCUUAAAGAGUUCGUAGGUGGUUGAAAAAGUUGGUGGUGAAAUCCCAGAGCUUAACUCUGGAACUGCCAUCAAAACUUUUCAGCUAGAGUAUGAUAGAGGAAAGCAGAAUUUCUAGUGUAGAGGUGAAAUUCGUAGAUAUUAGAAAGAAUACCAAUUGCGAAGGCAGCUUUCUGGAUCAUUACUGACGCUGAGGAACGAAAGCAUGGGUAGCGAAGAGGAUUAGAUACCCUCGUAGUCCAUGCCGUAAACGAUGUGUGUUAGACGUUGGAAAUUUAUUUUCAGUGUCGCAGUGAAAGCGAUAAACACACCGCCUGGGGAGUACGACC